UGAGGAAUAUUGGUCAAUGGACGCAAGUCUGAACCAGCCAAGUAGCGUGCAGGAUGACGGCCCUAUGGGUUGUAAACUGCUUUUAUAUGGGGAUAAAGUGGGGAACGUGUUCCCUUUUGCAGGUACCAUAUGAAUAAGGACCGGCUAAUUACGUGCCAGCAGCCGCGGUAAUACGUAAGGGGCGAGCGUUGUCCGGAAUUAUUGGGCGUAAAGAGUGCGUAGGCGGCAAAUUAAGUCAGAUGUGAAAACUAAGGGCUCAACCCAUAGAUUGCAUCUGAAACUGAUAUGCUUGAGUCAAGGAGAGGAAAGUGGAAUUCCUAGUGUAGCGGUGGAAUGCGUAGAUAUUAGGAGGAAUACCGGUGGCGAAGGCGACUUUCUGGACUUGAACUGACGCUGAGGCACGAAAGCGUGGGGAGCAAACAGG
rnacentral:rRNA from 1 species